rnacentral:misc_RNA from 1 species
CUUAAAGUGGUUUUGGCAAGAAAAUGAAGUGGCUGUGAUGCUGUUUGCAAUUGGAGCUUUACUCACACUCCCCCAUUGUGUCCCAGAGUAGUGCAAUCCUGUUCCUCUGUUUUUUUUUUUUCCAAGUCUUUCUAUUUACAUCUUGAUGUUUCAAUGUAGUUGCAAAGAUUUUACAACAUUAGAUGCUCGCCUUGUUGAGACUCGAUGGAUACAAUAAGACAAGUAUUCAUAUGGUUGGAAUUUUGUUGGUAUGCGUGCAAUUUUGUUGGUAUGCUGUUUGCAAUUUUGUUGAUGUUUCAAUGUAUUCAUAUGCUAUUGACAGCCUGGUUUGAGCUUGUUUUCUGUUGAUAUGCGUG